AUUUAGGAUUUAGGGUUUAGAUUUUAGGGUUUAUGGUUUAGAGUUUUGGGUUUAGGGUUUAGAUUUUAGGAUUUAAGGUUUAUUGUUUACAGUUUGGGUUUAAGGUUUAAGAUUUAGAUUUUAGAUUUUAGGAUUGAGAUUUAUUGGUUAGUGUUUCAGAUUUAGGAUUUAUGGUUUUAGAGUUUAGGUUUUUAGAUGGCGUUAAUUAAUGUCGGUGUUGUUGUUUUUUCAGCUAUUUUUUAUUUAUUUUAUUGUUUUUUUUAAAUACUCCUACAUGGCAUUUUGAUUGGUUAUGAAGAGUGUGGUGAAUUUAACCUUUCAACACAGGGGUGAACCUAAGUAUUGUUCAUAUAUAUAUACAUGUUAUGUUACAAAAAUAUAUAUUUAUUUCGUUUCAAAAUAAAUGAUAUCUAAGAUAGUUUUUGAUAUUUCAAAAUGUUUGAUAUUUUUCAUAUUUCUAGAUAAUUUUAAACUGUAUAAAAAUUGUGUAGAUAAUGCUAUUUUAUAUUCUAUUUUGUAAUUAGAUGAAUAAUUUUAAGCAUAAUGAUAGGUUUUAGAUAAAAAUAAGUUUUAAAUAAUUUUGUAUUACACUAAAACAUGGUACAUUUAGAAACAAAUGAAUUAUUAUAAAGGCAACAAGUAGCAAAAAAAAUAUACUGAAAAUUUAUGGCAGCUUUUUGAUGGCUCUGCUAUCCAAUCAAGAUUAGGUAAAAAAAAUUAUAAGAGCGUGAUUAAUCUGGAGUUCUUAGAAUGAGAUUCUUAACGGAAGUUGAAAAACUGUUUCUUAACUAUUAACUAAAAAAACUAAGAACUUUAAGAACCGGUUCUUAGUUUUUUUAGUUAAAAGUCAAGAAACAGUUUCUUAACUUCCGAUAAGAACCUCACUCUAAUGAGCCGAAAGCAAUAGCUCAUACUCGUGUGGCCAACAGGGUUCGAACCAGGGUUCGCCGUAUUGGGUAUAUUCCCUCAAGCGCCACUGGUUACCUACUACACAAAUUAACACUUCAAAUAUUAUGCAUAUAAGAUUAGGAUCUGCAUAAUCUAAUAAUAUGUAAUCAUUCUGUAGCUAUCAUUCUCAUAAAUCUCUAGAGAUUUAGAUAGAAUUUUGUAUAUCAGUAAAAAUCAGUAGGUAUAUCCAUCUUCUAUAGCAAUCAUUCUCAGAAAUCUCUAGAGAUUUAGAUAGAAUUUCGUGUUGAAACAACGUGGUGUGUUUCAUAUUGAAGAUGAUAUGUCCCACAUUCAAUAUAUAAAUGAAUGAUGGGGAGCCUCCCUCAAGAAACAUAUCAUAUUUUUAUAGUUCUUAAUUUUCAACAAUUUUCUUUAAACAGUGCGAAAUGAAUUCAAGAUUCACCCGUUCGAUUUCUUCCUCAAGGUGUGAUGGGAAGAGUGAAACUGAGAUGAACAAAGGCGGUCAGGAGGGUAGUCAAUACCCUUUUGUGAGUAUUUUAAGUAUGACUGGAGGAUAUGGACACAGUAGCUACUCCACCAACUCUCUUCUUCAGAUGAAGUACUAGAAAGACAACAAGUAGCCAAGAAAAACAAAAUAUUGAAAAUGUAUGGCAGCUUUUUGAUGGCCCCUACUAUUCAGCAUGAUUCAGUAAAAAACAUAUAACAGUUUGUAACUAGAAAAUGAAUUCAACAGGAAAUGUAUGGCAGCUUUUUGAUGGCCCCUACUAUUCAGCAUGAUUCAGUAAAAAACAUAUAACAGUUUGUAACUAGAAAAUGAAUUCAACAGGCAGGUGUGAUGGUGAGAUUCAUACCGGCGAUCAAGAAAUUAUUAUUACCCUUUUGAGAAUACUCAAAGCGGUAUGAAUGGUGGAGAUGGGGACAAGUCAACAGUUACUCCACCAAUGAUCUUCUUGAUGUUCUUCCAUGUGCUAGACAUCGCCUUUGCGGCAUACAUACUAACACAAGUUCACUUCAAAUAUUAUGUAUAUAUAAGUUUAGGAUCUGUAUAAUCUAAUGAUACAAUGGUUCAAGAUAAAAACAAAAAUCAGUAGGUAUAUUCAUCUUCUAUAGCAAUCAUUCUCAGAAGUCUCUAGAGAUUUGGAUAGGAUUUUGUGUUGAAACAACUUGGUCUAUUUAACAUUGAUGACGACAUAUCCCACAACCAAUAAAUAAAUUGAUUGAGGGUAGCCUCCCUCAAAAAACAUAUCAUAUUGCUAUAGUUCUCAUUUUUCAAUAAUUUUCUUCAAACAGUGCGCGAAAUGAAUUCAAGAUUCACCCGUGAUUUCUUCCUCAGGGUCCUUCUCACCGAUUCAUCUUCACGUUACAUGAUUGUAUAUGCUAAUUUGACAUAGAUUAUGCAUUUGUCUAUGGCUCUGAAUGGUACCAGCAGAUUGAGCGGUGCGGGACAAACGGUACAACUGCUGUGCAGUUUUAACAGUUAUAAAAAACGUAUAGAUAUAUGGUAUAUGUAAAGAUUUUUGUUAUUGUUCACUGCGGGGCGGAUUAAAACAUUCGAAGCCUAUGUAUGUAAAUGGGAAGAGUUAAUACGAGAUGCGAAGGUGUGAUGGGAAGAGUUAAUACGAGAUGAAUAAAGGCGAUGAGGAGGAGAGUAGUAAAUACCCUUUUGUGAGUAUUUUAAGUAUGAGUGGAGGAGAUGGACACAAGAUGAGUGUGUACCUAACCAGUUCAAGUCCUCUAAGUGAACACAAGGCUUACUUGAAUCAAUUCCAGACAGAUUUUAUGACUUUUCUAAGAAUAAGUUCUGAAGAAAUGGUAUCUAGUGGACACAUGGUUCUCACAUUAAUCGGCAGAAAGACUCUUGAUGAUCCAUUGCAUAGGGAUUGCUGUCACUGGUUGACAUUGUUAUCCGAUUCUCUUUGUGACCUAGUCUUCGAGGCUCUUGUGAGUGCAUCAAAGGUGAGUUCGUUCAAGGUGCCGUUUUAUGAUCCUAACGGAGAAGAAGUGAAAGAAAUUAUUAGAAACUAGUAUUAUCACCCAGUGCUAAGCACGGAUCAGUUUUUGCUUGCAUUUAAAUAAUCUUGUUUAUAAAUUCUAACAUUUUAUUUGAUCAAAGCUAAACAUUAUUCUGGUCACAUUCUAGAGCUGGAUAAAAUGGACACUUAUAAUUAGAAGUGUUGGAUCCAAAUAACAGUUAGAAUUUAUAAGGGUUGAAACACCUAUUGUAAUUUUUCCAAUAGAGAUAAUAAUUUUUAUAAAGCAUUUAAAUAUAGUUUAAAAAAUUUGACAUUUCAUUCAUUCAAUUUUAUUUCUAUUUUUUAUAUAUAAGUCUUCUUUUAAAUAUCAAUCUAAUUAUUCUAGAUAUAAUAAACAGUGAACCAACAAUAAAUUAUGAAAACCAAAAUUUUAUUGAAAAAAUUAGUAUAUCAAUGCAGUAGAAAGAUAAAUGGCAAACUAAUUUUUUAAAAGAAUAUGCAUUUAGGAUAUUUUGUUUGAACUUACAUUUUAGGAUUCUUUUCACUUUCCUCUUCCUCUAUCGUCGUCAACACAACUUGGAAUUUCAAAGAUAAAAAAGAAAACAUGCAUAAAAUUGUCACUUUGUAUAUAAUACUCAUAAACAGAUUUGUAAAACAGUCGAAUAAAUUUGUAUAUAAUAGAUUACGACAUACUGAUCUUUUUCUUUUGAAGAAUCAAUACUAUUAAAAGAGAAGGAGUUUUAAUAAAUCUACUUAUGAAAGUUGUUUGGACCAUUCCCUUUUAUUAUAUUUUGGUCUUCCCAUAUAUAUUAUAACAACAUGUGACCAACAUUUAACCUUAUAUAAGUAUCCUGUUUUUACUCUAACCAGAAAAUCGGUUUACAUUAUUUAAAUUUGUACCAUUUAAAUCGAUUACUAAAACAUUAUACCAAAACUAUAAGCCACAACGAUUUCUAAACAUGUCACAUUAAUAUCAAGAUUAUAAAACAUUACACUUAUGAAACUUAUACGAAUUACACUUCAUCAUGCGAUUUCUCAACUUCUGUUUGUUAAAAUCGAAAACCUUCUUGGAUGGUCUCAUGUUGUCCUUGCAUGUCUUCUCUUCCUGAAAAAAAAACUCAUAUGUCGACACACUUCUUGAAAUAUCACUUAUUAAAAAAUCAAACAUGAAUGUAUUAAAGACCUAAACCACCAUAGUUUUCACACGAUCAUACCGCAUUAUUCAUCACAUAUUAUGUUAUACAUGAUGUUAUAUUUACGGAUUCAUCACAUAUUAUGUUAUACAAUAAAUACGAUUAACUUCAAAUACAUAAAAAAUGGUACAAUUUGAAAAAGAGUGUUUCUAAUCACAAAUUUAAACGAUAAGGUUUGUUCCCAUAUCACAAUUUUAAGAUUUAAAAUUUAAAAUCGUAACAAAAUAUGUAAACAAGAACGAAUAUAGUGUGAAUAUGCUAACUAGAUAUAUUCUUAGAUUUGUUGUUAACAAUAUAUACGAUUAUCAAACUAAAAAACACAAAAUAAUUAAAUAACUUGGUCUACAAGUUUUUUUAUUAUGACAGAAAUACAUAAUUUUCCUUAUUUCUAUCAAACAAAAUAUCUAAUCAAUUCUACUUAUAUUCUCUACCAAGAUUUUUGGUAACCUACAUUGAUUACCAAAUAUUCUAUCCGAGCUUCACUUAACCUGCAUCGACUAGAAACCUGUCUUAUUAUAAAUACUGACCAUCUUGAUACCCUUUUAACUUCAACUCUAUCGAAACAAAAAAAAACACCAGAAAAAAGAAGCAAACAAACUAUUCCAAAAACAUGGUUAACUGACCAUCUCGAUUCAGAUGUCCUUCUUGAAAGACGUCGAACCACACAAGACUGUUUGACGUGUACAAGUGAAAGUGAGUGGAGACAAAGGAAUAAAAUUGCUGGUGAUUCACUGGAAGUAAUCCUAUCAAAUGCACAUGUAAGUGUGUUUUCCUCUUUAUAGAUUUGCGAUUAUAGAUCUCUAUGUUUAUUUUUAUUUUAAAGAAAUACACUAACAGAAAUAUUUUCAUUAAUAUUUUUUAAAGGGUACGAAAAAGCUAUGCCUCAUGCAAAAAGACUUACAUGGGUGAAUUGGCUAGCACGGUUCUUUGCUUUCCUUCAAAUAACCGAUGAUUCACUGAUGCUUAUCCCUAUUUACAAAAUAAAAAAUGGAAAAGUAGAACUUUCUUUAAGCGGAAUGAAGAAGAAAUAAGGGAGAGAAGAUUUACCGGUUCAGAUCUUAGAGGAGCCACUCGGCGGCGAACUCCUACGA